rnacentral:lncRNA from 1 species
GUGAGUCUCCCAUGAGGGCAUGUCUCUAUGGCAGACUGGUGUUAGAACUGGUCACUCUAGCCCUCUUGAGGCCUGGGUCACCUCCAAGCCCUUGGAGGCCGGUCUGGACCUGGGUUCUUUAGGGCAAUUGGACUUGGAUCCUCAACCCCAGCCCCCAUCCUAGUGGAGCCUUGAAAGUGCUUCUAGAGAGAGCGGCAGAGCCAGGUCCUGUGUGUGAAUGUUCCUGGGGAAUGCUGGCUUUGUCUGCAUGGGAGUCCUUUGAGCACUGGAAUGGAGCUUCCUCUGCCAGGACGCAGGUCCCUCUGUCACUCCAUGGACAGAGAAGUGUGUGAGGAGGCUGCAGGAGGAUGACGCUUACCUGAGACCUUGGAAGGCUGUUGCAUCCCAGUGCUGCCUUUACAAAGUGAAGCAGUUGGCUGGAUAUGGUCCUAACUAACAGUUGGUUCCAGAGUAGAGAGUAUCAGCCGGUGUUACCUGCUGCUGUUCACAGGAGAAGAGCACAGGUUUAAUGUUGGAGGAUGUUCACAGAAGUCCUCUUGUUGCUAAGGCUUCCAUGACACCCUCCCCCUUAGCUCUGCCUGAGCCUGCUUAGACCAAAACACUUCCUGACCUCUGUAGACCGUAAAUGGUCUUCCCCAUUUACCUGGCUUCUCUCCAUCAGUGCCCAAGUUGGAAUGACCUCAGAAAAGCCUUUCCAGGCCCCAUGUUUGUCCCUCAUGAACACUUAUUUAAAAUGCACCUGUCUUUCCCAUCUUUACUGUGCCCACCAGUGUAAACUCUGGAACAGUUUGUAUUUUCUUCUCAUUAGACUCCCAGAACUAAUGGACUCCACUGCUAGAUGAACAAAUGAGUGGAUUGAUAGACACAUUAUGAACUUUUUUGGGGCUGGAGAGAACUUGAAUGUUGAAGGUGAUACCUGUAUCCUGACAGCCAUGUUUUCAAGGCCACAAGUGUUGUAGGGACAAGCACAACCAGAGCUCGUCACAGCUGGGUUUGAAUCCUGGCUUUGCCAUAGGUGGUCCUGUGACAGCUUACCCUCCUGUUCUCAGCUUCCUUCUCCGUGAAGAGGGGUACCAGUAGCCACCUGGAUGGUUGCAGGAGUGAGUUGAUGCCUGAAAAUGCCUGCUGCUGUUGCUGUUCUCAUUACUGCUGUUUUAGGAAGAGGAAAUCAUGAGGCAUUGUUUCCCAGAAUGCUAUAGUUCUGGUAGUUGGGGACCCAGCUGCUUCCCCUGGUGAUCUUUCCCUGUCCACAGAAGUCUGAGGUGAUUGAUAUGGGGGCUGCCUCUACUCAGCCCUCACAGAUACAGAACACAAGCCCUGUUGAGAGGGCAGGUAGGCAGAGCAGAAUGGAAGAGCUCUCCAGUUUGAUAUUUCUGUUGGGUUUUGGUGCAGGGUCUCCGUAACUCAGGCUGACCUUGAACUUGAAGCAGAUCUUCUUCCUCAGCCUCCCAAGUGCUGGGAAUACAGGCCUGAGCCUACAUAGCCUUAUCAAUUUGUCUGUAUCAUUCUGACUCAGAGUCCCCUUGGUCUCAGCGCCACUGGUCUGGUUAGGAAUUUGCUUCCCAGCCACCACCCCUCCCAGCAUCAUGAACUGCUGUCUGCCACCCUGAGGCUGCCUGCUGUGUGAGGCCUGGGUGGAGCCAGGGCAAGCCAGGCAUCUGGAGGCAGUUUAUUUCGGCUGAAGUCUCUGGGUAUUUGAUUAUCCAUUACCAAGAGAGGAGAAUUAGCAUCUCUGCUGUUUGUUUUAUGAGAUCAUUCCAGUGCCAAACUCCUGUUUCCAAGCAACCUGCGCUUCCCAGUUAAUGACCCUGGCAGGCUGGGCCUCUGGUCUUCCAGCCUCGGGUAACUAUGGAGAUGAGAGUACCUGGCAUGGCCCGUGACCACUGCACACAGGUGGCUUCUGGGUCACAAGAGGGUAGCAACACAGGUAUUCGUGCUUUGUUUUUCUCGUGGUAACAGAGGAGAUGGGGGUGGGGGUCGGGGGAUCAGCUGCUUGAGUGUUUGCCUAGUUUGCAGAAAGCCCUGAGUUCAGUCCUUUGCUCUAAAUAAAACUGGGUGUGGUUAGCCACACCUGUAAUCCUAGCACUGUGGAAGCCAAAGGCAGGAGGAUCAGAAGUUCAUACCUUGGCUAGGUAGUGAGUUUGAGGCCAGGCUGGGAUAUAGGAGACCCUGUCUCAAAG